UACGUAGGCAGCAAGCGUUGUUCGGAAUUACUGGGCGUAAAGAGUGUGUAGGCGGUGCUCCAAGUCUGGUGUGAAAUCUCCCGGCUUAACUGGGAGGGUGCAUUAGAAACUGGAAUGCUAGAGGAUGGGAGAGGUAAGCGGAAUUCCUGGUGUAGCGGUGAAAUGCGUAGAGAUGUGGAGGAAUACCGAUGGCGAAGGCAGCCCCCUGGGCCAAUACUGACGCUCAUGCACGAAGCGUGGGGAGCAAACGAGGAUUAGAAGUACCC
rnacentral:rRNA from 1 species